rnacentral:rRNA from 1 species
GGGUGAGUAACGCGUGGGAAUCUGCCCUUUAGUGAAGAAUAACUUCGAGAAAUCGAGGACAAUGCUGCAUAAGUCCCUUCGGGGAGAAAGGUGGCCUCUUUGCUACCGCUAAAGGAUGAGCCUGCGUACUAUUAGCUAGUUGGUGGGGUAAUGGCCCACCAAGGCGAUGAUGGUUAGCCGACCUGAGAGGGUGUACGGCCACACUGGAACUUAGACACGGUCCAGACUCCUACGGGAGGCAGCAGUGAGGAAUAUUGCUCAAUGGGCGAAAGCCUGAAGCAGCGACGCCGCGUGAAGGAUGAAGGUCUUCGGAUUGUAAACUUCUGUUAAGUGGGAAGAAAGCCCUAUCUCUAAUAAAGAUAGGGGAUGACGGUACCAUUAUAGAAAGCACCGGCUAACUUCGUGCCAGCAGCCGCGGUAAUACGAAGGGUGCAAGCGUUAUUCGGAAUAAUUGGGCGUAAAGCGUCCGCAGGUGGCAUUUCAAGUCCAAUGUCAAAGACUGGAGCUUAACUCCGGAAAGGCAAGGGAAACUGAAAAGCUAGAGAGUGGUAGGGGUAGAGGGAAUUCCCAGUGUAGCGGUGAAAUGCGUAGAGAUUGGGAAGAACACCAGUGGCGAAGGCGCUCUACUGGACCAGAACUGACACUGAGGGACGAAAGCUAGGGGAGCAAAAGGGAUUAGAUACCCCUGUAGUCCUAGCCGUAAACGAUGGAUACUAGGCGUAGCUUGUAUCGACCCGAGCUGUGCCGAAGCAAACGCGUUAAGUAUCCCGCCUGGGGAGUACGCACGCAAGUGUGAAACUCAAAGGAAUUGACGGGGGCCCGCACAAGCGGUGGAGUAUGUGGUUUAAUUCGAUGCAACGCGAAGAACCUUACCAGGGCUUGACAUCCGGCGAAUCUGCUUGAAAGAGGAGAGUGCCUAAGGGAGCGCCGAGACAGGUGGUGCAUGGCUGUCGUCAGCUCGUGUCGUGAGAUGUUGGGUUAAGUCCCGCAACGAGCGCAACCCUCGUCCUUAGUUGCCAUCAUUAAGUCGGGGACUCUAGGGAGACUGCCGGUGACAAACCGGAGGAAGGUGGGGAUGACGUCAAGUCAGCAUGCCCCUGACGGUCUGGGCGACACACGUACUACAAUGGUCAGGACAAAGGGCAGCCAAAUCGAGAGAGAGAGCGAAUCCCAACAAACCUGGCCUCAGUUCAGAUUGCAGGCUGAAACUCGCCUGCAUGAAGGAGGAAUCGCUAGUAAUCGCAGGUCAGCAUACUGCGGUGAAU